CUAACAGCAUGUUUGGAAAUGAAGUUGAGUUUGCCAAACAAGUAAAGAAGGUGGAAGGAGAGGCAGAGGUUGGAGGAUUCCUCUCACGUGGAGGAAGGAGUUUGGUGGAGAAGGGAAAGAUGGUGAAAAACUAAAAUGGGUGGGGUAAUGGGAGAAGCCGGUAGAACAAUGGGAGAAGACAGCUGAGUCCUGGAGGUGACGACAAGCUGGGGCAGGGGUAGGCGGGUAGAAGAUAGAGAAUGUGGAUAAGAUGUUGCAAUGGAUGGUAACUUAAAAUAUGGAUAAAUGUUGGGAGUAAUUUGGUCUUUUACUACAUUGCUACUAUGGCGGCUUUUCUUUGUACGAAACAUAUUGUGUCAAGUCGGACACCGACACUCCUCGGACGCGCGAUGACAUGGGUCCGACAAGCUACAUGUUGUGUCUCAUUUUUUUGUAUAUUUUUUAAAAUUUCUAUUGCUCAAGGAUAUUUUGCGAACAUUCCCCGAACAAUUGUUCAACAUGACAUGUGCUA
rnacentral:lncRNA from 1 species